AUGACAGAUGUUGACCACAUUCACAAUAGCUCGGCACAUGGUAGAUGCGGCUCGUUCUGAGUAAUGACCUUUGGCAAUUAUCCGAUCGAAAAGCUCCCCUCCUGCGCAGAGUUCCAUGACAAGGUGGACGGAGUUUUUAUCCUCAUACGCGCCUUUGAAUUCCACAAUAUUGGCCUGUCCCGAUAGAUGUUGCAUGAUCUGAAUCUCCCUCUUGAUGUCCUCUCUGUCGUUUUUAUUGACAAGCUUUCGUUUGGAUAUGGAUUUACAGGCAUAGCGCUGUCCAGAGGCAAUUUCGGUGCAAAGAUAAGUAACGCCAAAUUGACCUCGACCCAGCUCCUUUCCCAGCGUAUAGUACGCCUUAACAUUUUCGAAGGGUUUCUCAAGAAUGGUGU
rnacentral:lncRNA from 1 species